AGUGAACGCUGGCGGUAGGCCUAACACAUGCAAGUCGAACGGCAGCACAGUAAGAGCUUGCUCUUACGGGUGGCGAGUGGCGGACGGGUGAGGAAUACAUCGGAAUCUACUUUUUCGUGGGGGAUAACGUAGGGAAACUUACGCUAAUACCGCAUACGACCUACGGGUGAAAGCAGGGGAUCUUCGGACCUUGCGCGAUUGAAUGAGCCGAUGUCGGAUUAGCUAGUUGGCGGGGUAAAGGCCCACCAAGGCGACGAUCCGUAGUUGGUCUGAGAGGAUGAUCAGCCACACUGGAACUGAGACACGGUCCAGACUCCUACGGGAGGCAGCAGUGGGGAAUAUUGGACAAUGGGCGCAAGCCUGAUCCAGCCAUACCGCGUGGGUGAAGAAGGCCUUCGGGUUGUAAAGCCCUUUUGUUGGGAAAGAAAAGCAGCAGGUUAAUACCCCGCUGUUCUGACGGUACCCAAAGAAUAAGCACCGGCUAACUUCAUG
rnacentral:rRNA from 1 species